AGCCGGGUAGGGUAGGGGACAAUCCUGCAGGACUCUGGAUCCCGCGACCGUGGUUCGAAUCCGCGCCCGGCUACCA
rnacentral:tRNA from 1 species